UCAGACGAUGCGUCAUGCAUAUCAAUAAGCGGAGGAAAAGAAACUAACAAGGAUUCCCCUAGUAACGGCGAGUGAAGCGGGAAGAGCUCAAAUUUGAAAUCUUAAAGGGUUUCCCUUUACGAAUUGUAGUUUAAAGAAGUGUUUUCUGCUGAGGUUUUGGUAAAAGUUCUUUGGAAUAGGACAUCAUAGAGGGUGAGAAUCCCGUAUUUGACCUUUACUUUCAACUUUGUGAUACACUUUCAAAGAGUCGGAUUGUUUGGGAAUGCAGUCCAAAAUGGGUGGUAAAUUUCAUCUAAAGCUAAAUAUUGGCGAGAGACCGAUAGCGAACAAGUACCGUGAGGGAAAGAUGAAAAGAACUUUGAAAAGAGAGUUAAACAGUACGUGAAAUUGUCAAAAGGGAAGCGUUUGACACCAGUGUUGUUUUCUCGAAAAUCAAUUAAAAAUGGCUCGAUUUUGUAUUGCUGAGACCUUAAAAGUUCACUGUACAUUUUUCGUGUCUUUUUUAAUGCACUUUUCGUUUAACAAGUCAACAUCAGUUUCUUUUGUUGUAAAAGGGUCAUUGGAAGGUGGCUUUCUUUUCGGAGAAAGUGUUUAUAGCCUCUUGCCUAUGCAGUCGGAGAGAUUGAGGUCUGCAGCGUAGAUCCUUCGGGGCUAAAUGCAUUUGUGCUAAGUUAUAGCAUUUUAUAGACAACUUGUUGACUAUGAUUUGUCUUGUAGCUUACUCGCUUAUGUUAUUUUACCUACGCUUAGGAUGUUGAAGUCAUCGUAUCGCGC
rnacentral:rRNA from 1 species